GUUCCUGACCUACGCUCCUAAGCACAGAUCUAGGAUCAGCUCAUCCUCAUCAAAUCCAAACCAGGACCUUAUUAAACCACGAGGGGAACACUGACCUCAGACCAGCGUUUAAACCCCACGUCUUCCUGCCAAGACACUGACACUCCGUCCAGAAGUCCUCUGCGCUCCAGCUGUCCAUCCAUCCGUCCGUCCAUCCAUCAAUCCAUCCGUCCGUCCAUCCAUCCAUCCAUCCAUCCAUCCAUCCAUCCAUCCAUCCAUCCACACCCCAGCCAGCCAGCCAGCCAUGGGUCUGAUGAGCGAGGACAUGGAGUGCUGUGUCUGCCUCCAGCCCUACUCUCGCAGGGAGAAGAUCCCUCGGAUGCUCCACUGUAAGCACACAUUCUGUGGGCUGUGCUUGCAGGCGAUGUCCAGGCUCCAAAGCGGCCUACUGACAGUCUGCUGCCCCCUGUGCCGUUGGAUCACCUGCACCGAGCCCAGCCUCACCCUGUCGGGGUCGCUGUGGGUUAACACUGAGAUAUGGGACCAGAUACUAGACAGACAACAGGAAGAGGAGGAGGAGGAAGAGGAGGAAGAGUGGAAGGAAGCUAAAAGACAGACACGGACCACUACACAGUACACAUGUUCUCCAUCAAGGCAUUGUGGCCUGAGGCUCAAACUACAGAAUUUCCUGAGGAGGAUGAAGCACAAUGUACUGUAAACCGAGAAGACGAAGAGCAGAGAAAGAAGCCUGGAUUUUCCCAUUUCAGAGCAGGAGAUACUCAUUGAGUAAUGAAGCUAUUUCACAAAACAGGACCGACCGGUGACUUUACAUAAUGAAGCAAGAUUGAACCAAUUAUUCCAAUGCUUUGUGUUUGAUUGACUUUGGGUAUGUGUAAUGUUCUCAGUCAACUUACCUGGUAAAAUAAGGGUUACAUUAUAAUAUUAAUAAUAAAGGAUGGAUAGGUGGAGGAAAUAAAAAAUAAGAUAUUAAAUGGAUUGAGGAAAAAAGUAAGAUAAAGGAAGUUAUGAAUAGAUGGACAGACAUAGAUAGAUAGAUAGAUAGAUAGAUAGAUAGAUAGUUAGAUAGAUAGAUAGAUAGAUAGAUAGAUAUUUACAUAUUUAUAUUUAUUUAUUUUCCCUUGUGUACUUUAACCAUUUGUACAUUGUUACAACACUGUACACUGUACACAUAUGUAUAAUAUUACAUUUGUAAUGUCUUUAUUGUUUUGAAACUUCUGUAUGUGUAAUGUUUACUGUUAAUUUUUAUUGUUUAUUUCACUUUUGUAUAUUAUCUACCUCACUUGCUUUGGCAAUGUUAACACAUGUUUCCCAUGCCAAUAAAGCCCCUUGAAUUGAAUUGAAUUGAAUAGACAGACAGAUAAUAGAUAAUAGAUGUUUAAUGAUUUGAUAAAAGGUGUAUUACUGCGUGAAGGGAAGUGGAGGUUUAGUAUUUAUUAUGACAUCAUUUUAGAACAGCUUUAAUAUUGCAUAUUGUUUCUUUUAUCAAUUUAAUUGUCUGCAUCAUUUCCAGUCCCCCAAAUCAGGGAUGUUGGAUUUGUUUAUCCUCAUUGGACAUGUUUAAUUCAUCUGUUCUGUUUGAAGAGCAGGUUUUUGUAUCCUGGAAUUAUAUUUAUUGGUUAAUAAAUACAUCCACUUUAAAAUAACCCUGUCUUAGAGUUGUGAAAUAGCUUAUUAUUAUCAUUACAUUAGGAAAGUAACUGUCUGAUAUCCAACUAUUUAUGGACCCCAGAUAGAGUUGGGGGUGUUAAUACACUACACAUUCUACACUACUAUUUCCUAAAACACAAAACAAACCCUAAACAUUCCACUGUCCUUGGUUUUGAUGUGUGCAGGACAUGACUGAA
rnacentral:lncRNA from 13 species